CAAGCUUCGCUGUACUUGCGCUUCUGGAUUUUUCUUGCUGCAGUUUCCGAGCCCCAGCAGAUGCCAGUGUUCCUCAAUGGAUCCUCUCCGGAACUGUAGUCUUUUUCCGGCCACCCGGGGGGCUGCAGCCACCUGUUCACUCAUAAAAAGGUUCUCCAAAGCAGCACAUUUCAUUGCUCUGGACAAACUCCCCACAGCCACUGAGACAGCCACCUGAAUGAACCUGGAUGAGACAGUUACCUGCCAGCUUCUUCUGCAGCACUUCCUAACCAAACCAUCACUGCCUGCUCAACCUCUGAUGGCUCCUUGUCUCUUGUGAGCACAGACCAGUGGCAAACAUAGCCAGCCCGUGACUGGAUAAACCUGGAAUGUCAAACCAUGCCUUCCUGUGCUCCCCCAUACCCACUUGCUGUCUUACUGUCUGUUUGUAAAUAAAGACCAG